rnacentral:lncRNA from 1 species
AUUUUUAAUGAAAAUUUCACAAAUUGCCUGGUCUGUUUCAGGCAAAUUGUGUAAAUAUGAAAUACAUGAAAUAGAUGAUAAAAAUAUAUUGUAAAGCUACACAAAAGGGUUAAGUAAAAUAAAUUAAAGAUUAUUCUUUAAAAAUGUAGCCAUAAUUGUCAACCAUUUUCCAAAGUGUACAAAACAUACACUUUGUCCGACCCCC